CGCUGGCGGCGUGCCUAACACAUGCAAGUCGAACGGACGAGAGGAGCUUGCUCCUCAAGUUAGUGGCGGACGGGUGAGUAACACGUGAGUAACCUGCCCUUCGGAGGGGGACAACAGCUGGAAACGGCUGCUAAUACCGCAUGAUACAGUCUGGAGGCAUCUCCGGGCUGUCAAAGAUUUUAUCGCCGAAGGAUGGGCUCGCGUCUGAUUAGAUAGUUGGUGGGGUAACGGCUCACCAAGUCGACGAUCAGUAGCCGGACUGAGAGGUUGAACGGCCACAUUGGGACUGAGAUACGGCCCAGACUCCUACGGGAGGCAGCAGUGGGGAAUAUUGGGCAAUGGGGGGCAACCCUGACCCAGCAACGCCGCGUGGAGGAAGAAGGCUUUCGGGUUGUAAACUCCUUUGACGAGGGACGAUAGUGACGGUACCUCGAAAACAAGCCACGGCUAACUACGUGCCAGCCGCCGC
rnacentral:rRNA from 1 species